rnacentral:miRNA from 1 species
UGUGCUUAUUUGUAUAUUGC